rnacentral:rRNA from 1 species
ACAAGCGGUGGAGCAUGUGGUUUAAUUCGAUGCAACGCGAAGAACCUUACCUGGUCUUGACAUCCACAGAACUUUCCAGAGAUGGAUUGGUGCCUUCGGGAACUGUGAGACAGGUGCUGCAUGGCUGUCGUCAGCUCGUGUUGUGAAAUGUUGGGUUAAGUCCCGCAACGAGCGCAACCCUUAUCCUUUGUUGCCAGCGGUUAGGCCGGGAACUCAAAGGAGACUGCCAGUGAUAAACUGGAGGAAGGUGGGGAUGACGUCAAGUCAUCAUGGCCCUUACGACCAGGGCUACACACGUGCUACAAUGGCGCAUACAAAGAGAAGCGACCUCGCGAGAGCAAGCGGACCUCAUAAAGUGCGUCGUAGUCCGGAUUGGAGUCUGCAACUCGACUCCAUGAAGUCGGAAUCGCUAGUAAUCGUAGAUCAGAAUGCUACGGUGAAUACGUUCCCGGGCCUU